AGCGAACGCUGGCGGCAGGCCUAACACAUGCAAGUCGAACGAACUCUUCGGAGUUAGUGGCGGACGGGUGAGUAACACGUGGGAACGUGCCUUUUGGUUCGGAAUACCUCAGGGAAACUUGUGCUAAUACCGAAUGUGCCCUUCGGGGGAAAGAUUUAUCGCCAUUAGAGCGGCCCGCGUCUGAUUAGCUAGUUGGUGAGGUAACGGCUCACCAAGGCGACGAUCAGUAGCUGGUCUGAGAGGAUGACCAGCCACACUGGGACUGAGACACGGCCCAGACUCCUACGGGAGGCAGCAGUGGGGAAUCUUGCGCAAUGGGCGAAAGCCUGACGCAGCCAUGCCGCGUGAAUGAUGAAGGUCUUAGGAUUGUAAAAUUCUUUCACCGGGGACGAUAAUGACGGUACCCGGAGAAGAAGCCCCGGCUAACUUCGUG
rnacentral:rRNA from 1 species